rnacentral:rRNA from 1 species
ACUUUCACCUUGAGAAUGCCCCAUCUCGUCUGAUCUCAGAAGCUAAACUGGGAUGACCGUGGUUAGUACUUGGAUGACUUGGAGACCGACCGACGGGAAUACCAGGUGUC